AAUAGAGGAACUCAGUGUAAGAACGUCACGUCCUGUGGCAUUACUAAAAUGACCGACAUCGUGUCGC
rnacentral:sRNA from 1 species